rnacentral:misc_RNA from 1 species
UCCGAGUUAACCCCGGCAGUCCCCCACGAGUCCCCAGCCGCCCCGAAGGACGCUGCUGGCAACAUGGGGUAAGGGUUGCGCUCGUUGCGGGACUUAACCCAACAUCUCACGACACGAGCUGACGACAGCCAUGCACCACCUGUACACCACCAAAAGAAACCACAUCUCUGCGGCGACAUGGUGUAUGUCAAACCCAGGUAAGGUUCUUCGCGUUGCAUCGAAUUAAUCCGCAUGCUCCGCCGCUUGUGGUUCAAUUCGACGCAACGCGAAAAACCUUACCUGGGUUUGACAUGUCGGUGGUAGGAAACCGAAAGGGGCCCGACCCCGCAAGGGGAGCCGACA